rnacentral:rRNA from 1 species
CAGCAGCCACGGUAAUACGAAGGGUGCAAGCGUUAAUCGGAAUUACUGGGCGUAAAGCGUGCGUAGGCGGUUUGUUAAGUCUGCUGUGAAAUCCCCGGGCUCAACCUGGGAAUGGCAGUGGAUACUGGCAAGCUAGAGUGUGUCAGAGGAUGGUGGAAUUCCCGGUGUAGCGGUGAAAUGCGUAGAGAUCGGGAGGAACAUCAGUGGCGAAGGCGGCCAUCUGGGACAACACUGACGCUGAGGCACGAAAGCGUGGGGAGCAAACAGGAUUAGAUACCCCUGUAGUCCCUGUCUCUUAUAC